GUCUUCCGCCAGCGUGCUUUGUAGGAGCACAGCGGCUUGGAGAAGGUCUCGCCUUUCACAUGAGCAGCAGCUACUGUUGCUACUGGAAGUUGGGGGUCACAUCGCCUCCAUUGUUUAUUUUUUUAUUCAGUCUUCCCUUCGAACAGGUCGAAGUUGGAACUUUGCUUUUGGAUGUGGAUCGGUUUUAGAGUGGAGCAGGUUCAGGUUAUUUGUCAAGACUCUCAAGAGUCUAUGGGAAGAAGGAGCUCAAAGGAAGGAAAAUUAAGCAUGGGGCCAUCUUUCAGAGUUUACCUCCAGGAUUGACGGAUACUGAUGCUCAUGUUAGGAGAAGACAGUAUCUUGGCAUACUGCUGCUGGGUGCUCUGGAGGUCUGUGUUGACUGCGGAGCUGUGAAGCUUGCAAGCAGGAGUCGUGGUGAAGAUGGACAGAGACAAAGGUAGUUGCAGAGUUAGCGCUUUAGUACGUUACGCUGCUGAAUGAGGCAGCUGCGACGUCCAGAAAUACCCAACAGCGCAUCGUUUCUCUUAGGGUCACGUGGAGGCUGGGUAUCGACGUCUCCAUCACCCUCGGUCGCUUGGCUUAUAAGGAUGUAUCUUGCUGUAGGCAGUAAAAGUGACUGGCGGCUGGGUCUGAGCCGGCUGGGGUUGUGAACCAGCUGGCUCCAAGCGUGAGCCGUUGCACUGUGGAGCCUAACGGAGGGCUGUUCUCGUUAUCGUGGCGACUUGGGUGUGCACUGGUGGUCCUUGGUGCUGCGGUGAGGUGGGUGCUCUGGCUGAUCUGUGGAAGGGGAUGCUGCUUUUGUGGUCUAUCAGGAAGCUCUGGGAAAGCGGUGGUGAAGAAGAUGGAAGCUCUCCUAGAAAACUCGGGCUACCAAACUUCAGGAGCUGAAGUAGCUCAGCGUUUUGCUUGUGGCCACUCCUUUUUACACUCAAAUAAAACCCUGUCUAUGCAGAGACCUUGUUCUUUACACUUAAGAUGAGCCUUCUUUGAGCAUGUUGGGCUUGUGGGAAGAUAACGAUCUGCCUGCCUGAAGCUCAGUUAUUAAUAAUAAAGUAUUUAAGAUGGCAAUUUGCAUUUCAGCAGCA